CAGCAGCCGCGGUAAUACGUAGGUGGCGAGCGUUGUCCGGAAUUACUGGGUGUAAAGGGCGUGUAGGCGGGACUGCAAGUCAGAUGUGAAAUACCGGGGCUUAACCCCGGGGCUGCAUUUGAAACUGUGGUUCUUGAGUGCAGGAGAGGAAAGCGGAAUUCCUAGUGUAGCGGUGAAAUGCGUAGAGAUUAGGAGGAACACCAGUGGCGAAGGCGGCUUUCUGGCCUGUAACUGACGCUGAGGCGCGAAAGCGUGGGUAGCGAACAGGAUUAGAUACCCUGGUAGUCCACGCCGUAAACGAUGGAUACUAGGUGUUGGGGGUAUCGACCCCCUCAGUGCCGGAGUUAACACAAUAAGUAUCCCACCUGGGGAGUACGGCCGCAAGGCUAAAACUCAAAGGAAUUGACGGGGGCCCGCACAAGCAGUGGAGUAUGUGGUUUAAUUCGAAGCAACGCGAAGAACCUUACCAGGGCUUGACAUCUACAGAAUCCUCUAGAGAUAGAGGAGUGCCUUCGGGAACUGUAAGACAGGAGGUGCAUGGCC
rnacentral:rRNA from 1 species